GUUUUUUCGUUUGGUUAUUUUCUAUUUUUAGCAAGCUGUUAUGGUUCUGGAGCUGGAAAUUGGGGUUCGUGGGAGGUUAUUUCGGGAAAAUUGCCUUUUGGCUCCAGCUCUUCGUGGAAACUACUAAUGAGUACGAGUUAGUUGAAAUGGAUGAGUGCUUGCCUUCUCAUAUCUCUCACUGGAGUGCUAUAUGAAAUAGCAAUGGAAAAAGAACGGAUUUUUUCUGUAAAAUUUUUUAGUUAGACAAUGAAAAUUAAAAAAAUGUUUACCUUUAGGAUUUUUUUUCCCUUACUUUAUGGUAGCCUUUGCAUAAUUAUUUCAAAUUUGGAAUGUUAACUGUUAGGUGUAUGUAUUAAUAUUUGUAGCUAUGUAUUUG
rnacentral:misc_RNA from 1 species